rnacentral:rRNA from 1 species
GCUCAGAGUGAACGCUGGCGGUAGGCCUAACACAUGCAAGUCGAACGGCAGCACAGUAAGAGCUUGCUCUUACGGGUGGCGAGUGGCGGACGGGUGAGGAAUACAUCGGAAUCUACUUUUUCGUGGGGGAUAACGUAGGGAAACUUACGCUAAUACCGCAUACGACCUACGGGUGAAAGCAGGGGACCUUCGGGCCUUGCGCGAUUGAAUGAGCCGAUGUCGGAUUAGCUAGUUGGCGGGGUAAAGGCCCACCAAGGCGACGAUCCGUAGCUGGUCUGAGAGGAUGAUCAGCCACACUGGAACUGAGACACGGUCCAGACUCCUACGGGAGGCAGCAGUGGGGAAUAUUGGACAAUGGGCGCAAGCCUGAUCCAGCCAUACCGCGUGGGUGAAGAAGGCCUUCGGGUUGUAAAGCCCUUUUGUUGGGAAAGAAAUCCAGCCGGCUAAUACCUGGUUGGGAUGACGGUACCCAAAGAAUAAGCACCGGCUAACUUCGUGCCAGCAGCCGCGGUAAUACGAAGGGUGCAAGCGUUACUCGGAAUUACUGGGCGUAAAGCGUGCGUAGGUGGUUGUUUAAGUCUGUUGUGAAAGCCCUGGGCUCAACCUGGGAACUGCAGUGGAAACUGGACGACUAGAGUGUGGUAGAGGGUAGCGGAAAUUCCUGGUGUAGCAGUGAAAUGCGUAGAGAUCAGGAGGAACAUCCAUGGCGAAGGCAGCUACCUG